ensembl:lncRNA
AAAAAUUACAUUGAAGUGGGAUGGUGUUGUUACCUCAAUAAAAUUGUAGGUGAUGACAACCAUUAGGUUUUUACUGCACUAAAAACUUCAUUUUAAAUACCAUAUAAUUUAGUGGCAGUCUCAUCAGAUUUUGAUGUAAAUCUGUAGCUAAAUCAAAACAAAAAUGAAGACAUCUGUUUUCACUAACUUUCAUAUGUCAUGUUGGUACUGAAGAGAAAGAGAGAGGGAUGAAGGUCUGGCACUUCUUCCUUUUCCUGAUUCCUUAAGUGUUUAUUUGAAAGGCUGAUUCCACUGAUUUCAACUGAAAGCAACCUCUGUGAAUUUUUAGCACUUCUGGAGAUAGGAGAUGUGGUUUGGUAUUGACAAAUCAAAUGUCACUUCCCAUACCAAAUCAGGCUAAUGUGUUUCUGUUAGAGGAUCUCUACUUGAAAAGCCAAAGUAAAUAAACGCACCCGAACAUACAAUUUGGAAUUAAGAAAAUGUCAUUAAGACCAGCAAUGGGAAAGGCAAAGUAGAGUUGUCCAAGCAGAGAGUGCUCUGAAUUGAUUUCACAUUAAAUCACUUCAGGAAAAGCCUUCAGUCUUAGUAAAGAAGUGUUUUGUAGCUGAGGGAUGAGGAUCCUGGAGUGUGUGGAGCUUUCAACAGAGCUUAGAACAACAAGGGAUUUGCCAUCUUUGUGUUCCCAGAGCCCAUUUGGUUUGGAUAACUCCGUCCCAGUGCUGCAGGAAGUGCUGCCCAUGCCCAGCCCUGGGAAGGGGACCUGGCAUGUGCCCCUUGUGAUCCCCUGCCUUUGUACCAGUGAGGCUGUGCAGGACAACUGCUGACAAAAGCACCUCCUUGCUCUUAAAGAGAUGCUGCAACCUGAGCAAAACCACCAAGUGAUAAUUUGAGAGUAAUUGCUAAUAGAUACUCAGCAAUAUUUAACUUUCCCCGGCAGUGGUGAUGUAGUGAGGCAGAGGACACUUUUGCUUGUAGGAGCUGCAGACCUUUUCUAAAUGCAAAUUGCACCAUGGCUCUGAACUGGUUAAUGUGGCCCUCUUGCACUUCCAGGAGGGAAUGCAAACAGUAAUGCUGGGUUUGUUCCAUAUGCCACACACUGGGUCAUGUGUAAUUCAUUUACAGACUGACGGACAGGUGAACUGUCUGUUCUUAAUGAGGUAUGUUAUGAUACAGGUUUAUUUUGGAAAAUAAUAACAUAAUUUUCUCUUUUCCUGUGAAGAAUUCUGCUGAUCUUCACUGCUUAAAUAGAGAGUAUAUGUGAUUAAUUGAAUUUUAGUUAAAACUUGCCACUGCACAGAAGCAGUUCUGGCUCCUGUGUUUGUUACAUAAUAAAAUGCCCUUUGCUUGUUUUGUCUUUAAGUAUUUUCACAUAGUACAGUUUUGGCAACAUACUGUCUUAAAAUGGUGGUUAUAUGAAGUGUUUGUUCCCUCAUUGGGUUUGACCAUUAUUUUUUCAGCAUGAGAGGCAACGGGCAGCAAAAUUUCUCCAAGACUGUUUGGUCAAUUUUAGGGAAGGCACACCAGUUAUCAUAAAAUUACAUAUAAUCUAUCAUUUUUAGUUCAAAUUAUAUAUAGCCAAUUACAAUUUCAAAAAAUAAUUUUCAGAGUGUUUUUUACAUUUUAGAAUCCUAAUCUUAAAACAAGCAAAAACCAAAAAUUUUUUCCAUGGCUACUCUAGUUUCUUAGAGAACUCUAAAGGAGAAGAACAGUUUGGACUGACAGCAAUUUAAUUGUUUUGGAAAAAUUGUGAUUUUGGCAGUGCUAAACUUGCAGUUGAACUUGAUCCAUUUAAAGUCUUUUCCAGCCUAAAUAAGUCUAUGAUUGUAAGGCUUCAGUGAGAUCAGAAUUUCCCUCCAGAGUUUUGUAACUCAGUUACUGCAUAAAGUCAGUAAUUUAAAAUACAUUCUUGGCACUAAGGAGGGUUUCUUCACUUCAUCCAAAGUUAAGUGAAAUAAGGCAAACAUAACUUUUUCCAUCAUGGUUUUAUGAAGGCAGAUUGUAAAAUAGAGAAUAUUUGGAAAUGCCACAAGGAUACUUUUUUGCUUUCAUUUAAAAAUGAGUGAGCCAGUGAGAUAUUUCCAAAAUGACUAUAUUUGUGUAGGGUUUGGUUGUGCCAUACUUGGCAUGGGAGCUUGCAGUAACUGUUCAGUAUUUGUAUUCUGAAGCUGUGCAGGACUGUGCUCUUCACAUGGAGCUGCUGAUGCAGUUGUGUUUGCUGAAGGGAUGUGAUACCUGAAGCAAAUUCCUGCAGCCAUGGGAGUUCCUGGCUGUAGCUGCUCUUGGCUGUGGCACCAGCAGCAAGGCAAAGCUGAAAUUCCCAGGAGGAGCACACACAGGUGUAGUGAAAAAGGGUGGGUUGGUGGAAUAUAUUGGGAGUAAUGUGAAUAUUUUCUAUUAUUAUGGAAUGUCUAGAACAAUGAAAAUGUGAUUGCUUUACAAUUAUCAUUCAGUUGAUAUUCAGUUAUUUUAUUUUGUAAUUUGUAGUUUUAAAACUCAGAAGAUGCAAUGUAACCAAAUGGUCAACAUGUAAAUGUGUGCAGGAUGUGGCAAAAGUAGUUCUGAGGACACAGGAAGAGAGUGAUCAUUUAAAAUAGAUGCUCAAAUUGUGUACAUACUUGCAAAGUUUUUGAUAGUGCAUUUAAAUUGAUUUUGCAUUUCAUGUUCUUGUAAAGUGCAUCUUUCAUACUUCUGAAGAUUGUCUACUUGUACUAUACUGUAUUAAGCCUUUUUUCAGGAUUUCCAUUAUUGCUCUAGCUUCCAACAUACAUGUUUCUUCCGAAAAAUGUUCUUUUUUUUUUUUUUCUUUUUUUUUUUUUUUUUUUUUUUUGUAAAUAGUGUUUUGUAUUAAAUUUGCAUGGAUAAACCCACGUUUCCAAAACCAGUGUACAGACGCUGUGUAUAAAAUAUAAACUGUUUCAUGAUUUUCAUGUAGUCAAGUUAUUCAAUUUGAUUU